rnacentral:rRNA from 1 species
GACGUAGGGGCAAGCGUUGUCCGGAUUUAUUGGGCGUAAAGAGCGUGUAGGCGGCUAGGUAGGUCCGUUGUGAAAACUCGAGGCUCAACCUCGAGACGUCGAUGGAAACCAUCUAGCUAGAGUCCGGAAGAGGAGAGUGGAAUUCCUGGUGUAGCGGUGAAAUGCGCAGAUAUCAGGAAGAACACCCGUGGCGAAGGCGGCUCUCUGGUACGUGACUGACGCUGAGACGCGAAAGCGUGGGGAGCAAACAGG